rnacentral:guide_RNA from 1 species
AGAGGGAGAUAGUAACCCUCAUAUAUAGU